CCAAUGUGAGCUAAUGAGUAAACUUUAGUAUUAUAUGAAAAAUAGUUAUGACACAAAGGAUUUUUCAAGGAAUGGAAAUACAUGUCAACUGGUAUCCUCACCUAUAUAAGCAUAUUCUAAUUGGAUGACAUAAUCCCAGGGUUGGAAAUUGCCUUGAUAAAAUUCAUUACUAUUUCCUUCCUCUCUCCCCAUCUGUCUUCCCCAUAAUGUCUCUGUUUCUAAUCAGGAGGAAUAAAGUUCAUGGCUGAAAAGCAGUUUGGAAAUCCAGAUAGGCAGCAGGAAACCACAGAACGCAAGCUCCAUGAAGGUAGAAACGAUCUAGUUCACUGCUGUAUCCACAGUGGCUGGAAUAGCACCAGACACAUGCUGGAUACAGAUGAACAUAGCAACAUCGGAAGCCACAUCUUAAAGAUGGAAGAGCCACCAGAUGGCAGGAUCCUGGGUCCCUGAAUCACCAUUUAGAAGACAGCUGCUCACUAGUCAAGAAUACACAUCUGGACCUUUCUUGAGUGAGAAAGAUAAGAGAUGAGGAGAAGCUGCUUCUACAAGCUGCGGAUGGUUGUCCCCUUGGUGACCUGAAUGACAAAUGUGCGUAGCACAGGCAAUGGGAAAGUGAUCUGCCCGCCAGGAUGUCAGCAGAUGUCCUCCUGGAUGCCUUGUCUGUAUUGCAUUAAAAACACAUGGAAGUUGUUUUCCACGGAGGCCGAGCUCUGCCCCAAACUUGGCACCAGCCGCUGCCGCGGUGACAGCGGCUGACGCCGCUGCCUCAGAACACAUUGAGAAGGUACUCGCUACAAACUGGGAAGUGGGACGUCACCACAACUGAACCAUGCUGGCACCCUCAUCGUCGUGGACUUCCCAGCCUUCAGAACUAAGGACAGUGCAUCGGAUUGCUUUCUGUGAACACCAUCAACAAACCUAUUGAUAGAAAAACCAGUCACCACAUUUCCAAAGAGCAUUGCCCAAUUCGAAUCAUGGGGCAAGGAAAUAUGGAAGAAAGUGGUGGCCUGGUGCUGCGGUGGUCUCACUGAGCUGGAGAGAUGAAACAUCCAGGACUCGAGGAGGCAAGUUCCCAGAGAAGAGGGAACCAAAGAAAAGCAUGAAGGUGAUUUGCUGUCCUGGCUAAGCACACAGGGAGAGGUCAAGACUGGAGAGUGAC